CUGAUUCUAUAGCCAUUUUAUAAGCCUUGGUGAUUGCUCCUUAGACCUUUCAUGGUUGGAAAAACAGUGUUAUUAGGGUAAACCAGAGUUGUGCUAAACAGCAGCUGCCAUCAUGGUACACACAGAGACAAAGGUUAUGAAGCCUUACCCUUGAAUACAAACUUCCUCCUUUGUUGUGUUCAAACCAGCAUGAUUACAAAGUUUAAGUAUUGUCUU
rnacentral:lncRNA from 1 species